rnacentral:rRNA from 1 species
UACGUAGGGGGCAAGCGUUGUCCGGAAUCAUUGGGCGUAAAGAGCGUGUAGGCGGCCAGAUAAGUCCGCUGUGAAAUCUCGAGGCUCAACUUCGAGCUGUCGGUGGAAACUGUCUGGCUAGAGUCCGGAAGAGGAGAAUGGAAUUCCUGGUGUAGCGGUGAAAUGCGCAGAUAUCAGGAAGAACACCCGUGGCGAAGGCGGCUUUCUGGUCCGAUUCUGACGCUGAGGCGCGAAAGCGUGGGGAGCGAUCCGG